ensembl:lncRNA
AAGUGUUCCCAUAUUUACUUAGAAUUUAUUAAACACCUUUUUUAAAUAGAAAAGGACAAUUCAGGAAGAACAGAAAUGCAUAACACAGAAUAAGUGAAACUGCAGCAGCAGCUUAUUACAACCACUACAAAAGGGAUGUGCAGCUGACUGCUGCAUGUGAUGGAGUACCCAAAUACUAGCUGGUGCUGCUUCUUUUCCACAUUUGAAUGAUUUAUAGCAGAAACUCCAGAAAUACUCUCCUGCAGCUUGACAUCUGCUUAAUUGAACAGGAAAGCAUUGCACUGAGCUAGCAAGUUGAACACAGGAUGAUAGGCACUCAUAGGUAACGUGCACAAAGCAAUCUGGAAAUCGUGGCUAUUGGCUGCCAUUCUCUGUUGCUAAGUACAGUACAGCAUAGCUGUUAUGGAGCUAACUGGUGCAGGGCUUCCUCAACCAAGUAAUGUCCAGGUUGGUCUUGUACAAGAAACAGCACUUAUGCUUUGUCAUUUCCCUGCUGUGACGUCUCUGAUGUCCAUGACUGGGUGCGGAAGCUGGUAUUUGGCAAGCUGCACUACAAAAGAAACCUGCUAAUUCUGAAAAGUGGUGUUUUGGGCUCAGCUGUCACUCCUGGAUGAAAUACGUUCUACCUUGCAGAGUAGACUAAUAAGACUGCCCGUGCAAUGUGUAAGGUUUUCUUUUGUCCUUUAUAAAACUGAAAGGACUGAAAUAAUAGUUCAGGAGAAGAUUUUGAUAUCCUCGUUCCAGCGUGCCUUGGCAGUCCCCACACUGUGAAUAGUUUCUCCAGCUCCAGUGGAAUGCCUCUUGGAUGGAAGAUAGCCCUCACAGUGAAUUCAGCUGCUCUCCUGCUGCAGGAAUGUGCGGGCACACUGUUACACAUUAUAGAGGGAAAAUUACACAAACCUGUCCAAUGACAAGUGUAUAGCGUCGACAAUGUAUCCAAGAAAAGCUAUUGUGUGCAUUAAAGAAUGUGUCUUUUUGGCACUUGCUGAAAUAAGAAGAGGCAAGACUGUGCAGUCUGAGCUCUUCUUAAACCUUUACACGAUGAGGCAGAGCAAGUUUCUGAGCACUUCUGCAGCACUUCCCUGUACCAGUCCCCUUCCCUGCUCCCCUCGCCGACAAUUCUGUAGAGCGUUCGCUCCAGUUCAGCGGCUGCUGACAAAUGCUGCACCUUUCUGCUCCAGCCCCUUGUUGCUUACACACGGGAAUCAAACAAUCAGAAGAACCUCAAGCUUAUUUUCAUCUAAGUAACUUGUUUAUUUCUAAACCUACAAAGCAAAUGCACUCUUUGCUCUGCAAUUUAAUGUCUGCCUCUUUUUCCGCCAAGGUUGAUUUGGUAUUUCCUUUACAAACCUCAAUUGUUGGCAUUAAGAACUUGGCCAUUUCAACUCUACUGGACUAAAACUUGGCAACCAAAUUGUGAGCUAGCAGCUAAAUUGUUUCACUAAAAUUUCUUUCAUUUUUAUCAUUAAUCUGUGGCCAAUCUUUAUCUCUGCAGUUCCCACCACACUUCUAAGUCCCCCGAAGGUGAAUCGCUGGAAGUAACUUGGAAGUGCAGCUGACCGCCCGUACAAACACUUAAAUAAGAGACCCAGAACCCGAGCUCCAUAACAAAAUGCAGUUUCACUCUGUUUUUCUGCCUGCAGGCAGCCUUUCUUACACUUCUGCAUAUCAAGGAAGUGUCCCAGGAGAAGCCACAAGAUAGAGUCCUUAACAAAGCAGGAAGAGCAGAAAACCACAAAGGCACAUAGCAAGUCACUAUUAGGUCAAGGCCUGUGCUCACCAAUCCUGUGCAGAACUGGAGACGCAGUGAGCAUUCCAUAGCAGCCAGUGGUCAGAGGGCCGGCAAGGAUGGGAGUGGAGGAAUGGCUGUGGAAGAUGAGAGUGAAUAACCCAUGCCGUGUGGAUGCUGGCAGCCCUGAAACCAUUAGGAACAGGGCUCAGCAGCCUGCUCCCUGGUGCUGUGCCAUCAGAAGAGAUUUUGGUCUGCUGUUCAUCUCAAGAAGGUCAGUUAUUGGUCUGAACACCACCUUACCCUACAGCCUUAGGGCAAGGUGUUGUUUGUUAGAAAAGGGGACAUGCCACAAAGAAGAGUUUUCACUUGUGGCACUUAAAGGAGGCUGCACCAACUAACUGCCUAAAAACAGUGGGACAGGGGGGAAGCUUAGUUUAACAAUUAGAGUGGGAUCUGGGCAGCAUUUACUUGGCAAAUCCUUUAAGCCCUCUAUCCAAACCCUCCUUGCUGCUAACCAAGCCCUCCCAGAAGGAUUAUACCUUUCAUUUGCCUUCAUCUGUUUUAUCUUGCGGCAGUGGCCCCAGGUACUCUGCUGGGAUGGCUUAGCAUCCCUUGUUUCAGAUGGGACAUGGAGCUGGGAUUUCAGCAAACAUCACCCAAAAAUCGUGUUUGGCCUUGCCACUGGUGAUCAAACCUAGCAACACAGCAACAGCAACAAAUGCCCCUUGUUUGUUUGUGCUGGAGCAACUGUGAUAUCUCAGAAAGAUCAAGUAACUGUACUGCAGAAACCUAAUUUAAUGGGAUUUCAGUGGGCUCAAGGAGUGUAAACAAUUUAAAUAUGAUUCUCUUCCCUUGUAUUUCUCUCUCUAGUGAAAUGACAGCAGAACUGCCGAUGUGAUGCAAGAUGCGAUUGGGAUAUACGAUUUUUUUUUCCAGGAGAAAUGCUUGAUUCUGCCAGGAUCUGGUGCAGGGAAUAUUUUGCAAUGAUGUGGACUCAAAUCUAGGCAACCGCUGAGCAGAUCUAAAUGGCCAAGUGAAGGAGAAUCCAGUGUUCUUUCACUGUCAUGGGUCAGAAAAGCAGACCAUCUUCAACACGCAUUCAGCCCUUCAACUGCCUCACGUCCUUCAGUUCAUGGCACAGCCUGAGGCUGAGUGGGGAUCACCAGGUCAGCUCAGGCCUUUAACAGAGACCUCUCUUUGACUCAGGCAAGCCUAGCUUCUAAAAUCAGGAAUUUUAAAAACUAUUGGCAAAAAUCAUCUGAUUUGAGCUUGCUAUGUUAAAUCACAUCUAAGGAAUAUUUAGGCUUGGUGAAGUGUGUUUAACUUCUUCAUAUGUGAAUGCUGAAUCCAAAAUACACUAAUUUCUAAGAACCACAGUAAUUAAACUGCCUUGCCAAUAGUAUGGCAAGGAUCAUUUGGUUAAGCCACCAUCUAGCAUAGACAUUGAAAGCCCUAAGAUGUAUGUGGAAAGAUAAAUAUCUAUGCUUAGCUUUAUCUUUAAGAUGUUUUGAUAGUGACUAUUCUGUGACACAAUAUUCAUAACUUGUGGACACAUUGUGAAGCAGUUUUCCAAUAUCAAGUCCAUCACUGCAUUUCUGGGAGGAUGCAACUGUUUCCUUUUUAAAGCCACCAAAGAAACCAUCAGAAGAAAAGAUUUGUGCUCAUCUUUCAUUAACCUGACAUACAAAAGUAAGUUUGAUUUUAGGAAGAAUUUUGCCCACAAAGCAUCUCGUCAUAUAAAUACUUAGUACCAGGUUUUCUCUCUUUCUCCCAAGUCCAGGGACCCUUGCUCCUUGAUCAAAGACAGCAGCAUGAGCAAGCCAUGAAUCAGAUUGACAUCAUAAUCCCUAUUUUUCUGCACAAUGAAUUCAAGGGAUAGGUAUUCCUCUGAUACUCUACAGGCAAAGAUUAGGAUAAGGCACAUCACUACAGACAUUGGGAAGCUCCAUUUUUGGUGACUGUGCACUGUGCAGCUGAACUGAUUGCAUGAAGAAACUACAGUGAUUUCCUGUGAGCUG